CGUGCAGGUGGCUUCGUAAGUUGGACGUUAAAUCUCCCGGCCUAACCGGGAGGAGUCGUUCAAUACUGCGGGGCUAGAGGGCAGAAGAGGGGGUGGAAUUGCUGGUGUAGUGGUGAAAUGCGUAGAUAUCAGCAGGAACACCCGUGGCGAAAGCGGCCCCCUGGUCUGCUCCUGACACUCAGACGCGAAAGCUAGGGGAGUGAACG
rnacentral:rRNA from 1 species